AAAGAAAAAUGCCGGCACAAACCUCAGUGGUGGUUCUGUGGUUGUUUCUGUCUUUUUUUGAUAGAAUCUUUGAUUAGUAUCGAAUUUACUGUAUUUGGCCAUGUGAACUAUUGGGAGCCUCCUAGGAUAAAAGCUUCGAUGAUGAAGAAUCAGUGGAUGGAAACAGGCCAUCAUCAGCUGCAUCAGCCUUCAAGGUUCCUGCACCUAAAACAUCCGGAAAUCCUGUCAACAGUGCAAGGAAGCCUGGUUCAGCAGGUGGCCCUAAGGUUGGAGGUGCUUCUAAGGAAGGAGGUGCUGGAGCAGUUGAUGAAGAUGAUUUUAUAAAAGCUUUUACAGAUGUCCCUUCUGUUCAGAUUUAUUCUAGUCGAGAACUCGAAGAAACAUUAAAUAAAAUCAGGGAAAUUUUGUCAGAUGAUAAACAUGACUGGGAUCAGCGUGCCAAUGCACUGAAGAAAAUUCGAUCACUGCUUGUUGCUGGAGCUGCACAGUAUGAUUGCUUUUUUCAACAUUUACGAUUGUUGGAUGGAGCACUUAAACUUUCAGCUAAGGAUCUUAGAUCCCAGGUGGUUAGAGA
rnacentral:sRNA from 1 species